rnacentral:misc_RNA from 1 species
AUGAAGAACGUAGCGAAAUGCGAUAAGUAGUGUGAAUUGCAGAAUUCAGUGAAUCAUCGAAUCUUUGAACGCACAUUGCGCCCCUUGGUAUUCCAUGGGGCAUGCCUGUUCGAGCGUCAUUUGUACCUUCAAGCUUUGCUUGGUGUUGGGUGUUUGUCCCGAGGGACUCGCCUUAAAGUAAUUGGCAGCCAGUGUUUGGUUUUGAAGCGCAGCACAAGUCGCGAUUCAAGGCUACACGCCCGCUUCCACAAGCCUUUUUUCACUUUUGACCUCGGAUCAGGUAGGGAUACCCGCUGAACUUAAGCAUAUCAAUAAGCGGAGGA